GUUUUAAUAGCUUAUAUAAAGUAUAAUAUUGAAGAUAUUAAGAAAGUUUUGUACUUUAAAACAUUUAC
rnacentral:tRNA from 1 species